UUCUCCAAAACUCCUGUUACCGUAAAUCGAAACCCGAACCACCAAUAUCUGCCGCCAACCGCCACCCGAUGAGCGAAACAUUCACACUUGGUAACGUCGUAAAGCAUACACGCAUGACUCUGUGAAGAAACCAAAGGUAAAAGGUCACCGUUGUCGACCGAGCAAUCCUCUCUCUCUGGAAUCAGAGGCGAAAGCUGCGCGAUUAUCAGUGACGGAUCACUCUUCCAGAUAUGCCAUCAUCCAAUGUGGUUGUGGAUGAUGGACAAGAUGCUUAACCAGGGUAUCUGCGCGAGAGAAAAGGUCUUGGUUCUCUCUGUCUCUCUCGAGAUUUUGUUUUGCAAGUACAUGGUCAUGGAGGAAUCUUUAGCUGCUUAAAGAAAACAUGUACCUAUGGUAGUAUUUUUUCUUUCGAUUUAAAAAUUUCAGAUCCAUCAUCCCUGUACCUUGACAUUCACCUACUAUCUUCUUGGGAUUUGUAUGAAUUUCAAGAUUCCAUGCCAAGUUUUCUUAAAAUGCAUCCUUAUAUAGUACUUUAACCUGGGAUUAUCUUCACCCCAUAUUAGAGCCAGAAAUUUGAAAAACUAUACAUGUAUGUUUUACCGACCCCAAUUGGUUGGGACACAAGGCUCGAUUUGGUUUUGUUAUACAUGUAUGUUCUGAUGAAUUCAUAUGUAUUCUGGCGAUUCCCUGUAUACCAUAGCAUUUUGAAUUGCUACUGUA